AAAAAAACCGCGUGCUUCAUUAUUUUUUGGGGGUAAAAUUUCACUUUCCCCGCCUAAAGAAAGAAGGCCUACUUAAUUAGCUUCACUCAUUCCCUCAUCUUCAGUACCCUUCAGCAGCACGACUAUUCUUCUCCUCGCAGUGCUAUGGGGACUGGGUCUACGCAAUCCAUAUAGGGCGUUGGAGGUUGGGUAUGUAGGAAAGAGCUGACGAUGAUGGGUGGCGCAAUGAGGGCUUAGGCUCUGCGACGAAGGUUGCAACGAUGGUUGGUUGGUAGUCUUCGACUUUGAAAGUGUGGGUUAUUUCUUCAGUCUGCCAUUAACAACAUCGACCUCCCCAAUCACUCCUCUGGAAAUGCCAUCCAAGGCGAUUGCCUCAUGUAUCGAUCUGACAACAAUCUUGACAGCUACAAGGUUCAGUUCCCUCAUUGUUUGACUACUUCUCUGGGUUUUCUCGUUUUGGACAUGAAAGAAUCUUCCCCACCGCACUUACUAACAUACGUGGCUGCAAAGUAUACUAGAUUGCUUCCAAGCCUUAAAUGUCCAAUGGAAAAGACAUUCUACCGAAGUUCUGUCUAAGUCACCAACUUACCGUUCCUCUAAUCUCUACUCCUCCACUUAGCUAUAAUGGUACAAAAAAUAGAAGAUAAAGAAAGUCAUUUGACUAUAAUCUAUUCGGAUCCUUUUAAAGCUCUAGGAAAAUGAAGUAUUGAAGUUCAAGUAAUUCUAGCAGCCCAAAAUCAUGUCUUGCAAAUGGAGGGUGUCCAAACUGAACAAAUAGUAACUUGAGCAAUGACUUGUCAAUCCUAUCUGGGUGAAUUCCAUCACUGUGUUUGUCUUUGGUAGUUGUACCAAACCUUUAUUUGGGUUUGUACGAUACCUUGUAUUGUAUUUUAGUAUCUUGAAUUUUUGCUUCUCUUUGGUAGUAGUACUCUGCCCUUCAUUUAAGCUUGCAUGAUAUCUUGUAUCGUAUUUAGUACCUUGAUUUUUUUUUGUUGGAAAAUGUAGAGAAUGGAUCUCUUGUAAAUUUUACUUGGAACAUAUUUUUGCAUAUAAAUACUUAACUAUAUUUUUGUUU